CGUUGGUGACAGCGGAGGGAUCAUUACCGAGUUUACAACUCCCAAACCCCUGUGAACAUACCAAUUGUUGCCUCGGCGGAUCAGCCCGCUCCCGGUAAAACGGGACGGCCCGCCAGAGGACCCCUAAACUCUGUUUCUAUAUGUAACUUCUGAGUAAAACCAUAAAUAAAUCAAAACUUUCAACAACGGAUCUCUUGGUUCUGGCAUCGAUGAAGAACGCAGCAAAAUGCGAUAAGUAAUGUGAAUUGCAGAAUUCAGUGAAUCAUCGAAUCUUUGAACGCACAUUGCGCCCGCCAGUAUUCUGGCGGGCAUGCCUGUUCGAGCGUCAUUUCAACCCUCAAGCCCCCGGGUUUGGUGUUGGGGAUCGGCGAGCCCUUGCGGCAAGCCGGCCCCGAAAUCUAGUGGCGGUCUCGCUGCAGCUUCCAUUGCGUAGUAGUAAAACCCUCGCAACUGGUACGCGGCGCGGCCAAGCCGUUAAACCCCCAACUUCUGAAUGUUGACCUCGGAUCAGGUAGGAAUACCCGCUGAACUUAAGCAUAUCAAUUAAGCGAGGAA
rnacentral:rRNA from 1 species